GCGGAGGUGGCAGAGCGGUCAAUUGCAGCAGUCUGUAAAACUGUUGCCCUAACGGGCUACGGAGGUUCAAAUCCUCCCCUCCGCA
rnacentral:tRNA from 1 species